rnacentral:rRNA from 1 species
AGACCGUACCUUGGUAUGUUAAAGUAUACUUGGAAGAAUCGGAGUUAGCGGUUAAAUGUCAAUCAAACAUGUGAUGGACGGUAUUCUAUGUAAUCUAUCGAAGA